rnacentral:lncRNA from 1 species
AAUUGGCUAAAUACACUUAAGUGAGCCACCACAAUCAGCAACGGGAACCCUUACGGCAAUUCAAUGCACCAGAACCAACCGUCAACGGUCCAACGAGAGAAGACGGUCUAGCGCCAAGACUCGAAGCCUUGGCAUAGCUAGACGAGGUAGCACCACCGGAAGGCGUAAAAAACGCACCGUUUAGCAAUAAAUCACCAGAGGAUCUCCAGUUCCAGCUCUUCCACUCACUCUCUGGGGCGUCCUCAUGCUUAGUCACUUCUUUGCUAAAUCUAAUAUCCGGGGCCAAAAAUCUGUUCCCUUGACUAUUGAUUGUAGGGUCAGCACUUCCACCAAUAGCAUACAUCUCCCAAUGCGUAUAGUCGUUGUUCACCACAUGGAAGUACCCAUGUCUACACCUACACACAUCAAACAAAUGGUCCCAAAAAUUUAAUCACACAUCAAAAUCACAUUUAAUUUACUAACAAAAAUCUAACAUCAAUUAUUAUAUUUUUUUUUACCUUGGCAUUCUUUGAACAAGGCCUUCACCAAAAUGGUUAAAAGCAAUGGUGAUUUGCAUGUUCUUGUCACGAGUGUAAGUGUCACUAUGACCAAGCAACAUGACCUUGUCAUGAUGCGUCAUAUAAUUGUUAGACAGAGUAAUAGCCGUGGAGCCCAUUAUGGCAUCAAUAAGCCCGUCUUCGCAGUUAGAUAGUGAACAAUGGUCAACCCAAACAUGACUUCCUCCAAAGAUGGAGACACCGUCACCGUCCGAUAUCGUUCUCCACCCGUAAUGCCGUGGUGAGCUCCGCACCAUAGCGUUACCACCUGGCUUACAAUCAUGGAUAUGGAUACCAUGGAUGAUGAUGUUAGUCACGUACUGGAUCGUAAUGCAUGGCCCACCAGCGAUGUGUACUGACGCGCCACGACCGUCUAUGGUCUUGAAAGAGUUCAUGAUCAGCUCUUCUUUGAGCUGAAUGGUCAUGUCUCGUUGGAAAAUGAUCCAUAGUGGCUCGUCUUGAACUACGGCGUGUCUUAACGUUCCGGGUUUGGGGGUCACUGGGUCGUCGUUUCCUGAGUCUGUCACCACGUAGAUACGACCGUCUCGGCCGCCGAUAGCGUUCUUGCCGAACCCUAUGGCGCAGUCUGCGAGACGCUGACGGUUGGUCUCCCAGUGUGGGUCGCAUCGCCAACAGUCGUCGAUAGGGUUACCAGUGGUGCAUGAGAGGUAACCUAGCUUCCUUCUUCCAGAGAGAAGACGGUCUAGCGCCAAGACUCGAAGCCUUGGCAUAGCUAGACGAGGUAGCACCACCGGAAGGCGUAAAAAACGCACCGUUUAGCAAUAAAUCACCAGAGGAUCUCCAGUUCCAGCUCUUCCACUCACUCUCUGGGGCGUCCUCAUGCUUAGUCACUUCUUUGCUAAAUCUAAUAUCCGGGGCCAAAAAUCUGUUCCCUUGACUAUUGAUUGUAGGGUCAGCACUUCCACCAAUAGCAUACAUCUCCCAAUGCGUAUAGUCGUUGUUCACCACAUGGAAGUACCCAUGUCUACACCUACACACAUCAAACAAAUGGUCCCAAAAAUUUAAUCACACAUCAAAAUCACAUUUAAUUUACUAACAAAAAUCUAACAUCA